UACGCAGGGCGCAAGCGUUAUCCGGAAUUAUUGGGCGUAAAGAGCUCGUAGGCGGUUUGUCGCGUCUGCCGUGAAAGUCCGGGGCUCAACUCCGGAUCUGCGGUGGGUACGGGCAGACUAGAGUGAUGUAGGGGAGACUGGAAUUCCUGGUGUAGCGGUGAAAUGCGCAGAUAUCAGGAGGAACACCGAUGGCGGAGGCAGGUCUCUGGGCAUUAACUGACGCUGAGGAGCGAAAGCAUGGGGAGCGAACAGG
rnacentral:rRNA from 1 species